UGGAACAAUAAUCAAGAAAUACAAUUCUUCUUCUCUCCUAUCUUUCCAUGCUCUCUAUUUCUAUUUCUAUUCUUCUGAUCUCUUUCUCUGUUCUUAAUUCUUCUGUAAUUUCCUCUCUUAGGAUUCACUAUCCUAACAUUUGGUAGCAGAGUUUGCAAUAAGGGAUUUGGGUAGCGUUUCACUGCAUUGCUGUCGCAGUCAUGACAAGAUGAUUGGAGUCUCUGGUGGUCAGUACUGGAACGGUUAGGGUUGUGGAAUUCGAAGAAAGGAUGAGGAAUGUGAAUGAGAAAUUUAAUUCAAUUGAUGAAAGAUUCAAUGUGAUUGAAGGGAAAUUGGAUAGGGCUUCUACUGAUAAUUAUGCAGUGAGACAAGAUCUGAGGAAUUUUAUGAGUGCAAUGGCAAAGGAAAAGCGAAAAGAGGUUACAGUUGAAGAUAGUGGAAUCGGAGAUGCCAAGAGCAGAGGCUUGCUGCCAGUUCCAAAAAACUUGCCUAAUCCACUAGUCAAGGAUCAAGGCAGUACUGGCAAUGUUGUCCCUGUUGAAGAUAUGUGUUGGAAUCCCUUGAUUUUACGAAUCCAAAUUAAUAGGCAUUAAUUGUAUUUUCCUAUCAUAAUUAACUCCUUCUAAUUACCUUCCCAUUUUGUACUUUCCUAUUCAAGUUCGAUUCUUUGUAUAUAAAUAGAAGCCUAAUAUCACUGUCUUUCAUCAUGGUAUCAUAGAAUUUGAUUCAUUACGGCAGGCUUUAGAACUAUUCAUUAGUACUGUUCACAUGCACUGUUCAUCAGUAAUGUUCACGCACUCUAUUACUAUUCAUAACACGUAAACCGUUUUCUAGUUUUUUUUCAAUUGUUCCUCGCGUGCCAUGCCUCUGCCCAACUCUUGUCCUUCACCUAACCACAAGCGAAUAUGUCUAAAUUCGGGGAUUAGUCUGAAGGAAUAAAUGAUAUUAGGAUUUUUUUUUUCCAAUGAAGAAGUUCAAUUCCUAAGACAUUCAUUGUCUUGGCUUGAAUCUCAAUCUUCUACCGUUGUCUCUUCCAAUUUUGUUAAAUCAAGCAAUACUUUUUUCGUGAAUCUUGACAAAUACUUUUGCGUUAUAAAUUUUGGAGCAAACAAACAUAUAACAGGCUUUUUAAAUAAAUUUUCUACUUAUACUUCAUAUUCAGGAAAAG
rnacentral:misc_RNA from 1 species